rnacentral:rRNA from 1 species
AGGGUUUGAUCAUGGCUCAGAUUGAACGCUGGCGGCAGGCCUAACACAUGCAAGUCGAGCGGAAACAGGAAGGUGCUUGCACCUUUGCUGUCGAGCGGCGGACGGGUGAGUAAUGCCUAGGGAACUGCCCAGUCGAGGGGGAUAACAGUCGGAAACGACUGCUAAUACCGCAUACGCCCUACGGGGGAAAGGAGGGGACGCGCUUUUCGGAGUGCGCCUUUCGCGAUUGGAUGUACCUAGGUGGGAUUAGCUAGUUGGUAAGGUAAUGGCUUACCAAGGCGACGAUCCCUAGCUGGUCUGAGAGGAUGAUCAGCCACACUGGAACUGAGACACGGUCCAGACUCCUACGGGAGGCAGCAGUGGGGAAUAUUGCACAAUGGGCGCAAGCCUGAUGCAGCCAUGCCGCGUGUGUGAAGAAGGCCUUCGGGUUGUAAAGCACUUUCAGCGAGGAGGAAAGGUUGUAGUUUAAUAAACUAUAGCUGUGACGUUACUCGCAGAAGAAGCACCGGCUAACUUCGUGCCAGCAGCCGCGGUAAUACGAGGGGUGCAAGCGUUAAUCGGAAUUACUGGGCGUAAAGCGUACGCAGGCGGUUUGUUAAGCAAGAUGUGAAAGCCCCGGGCUCAACCUGGGAAUUGCAUUUUGAACUGGCAAACUAGAGUCUUGUAGAGGG